UUCUGGCUCAGGACGAACGCUGGCGGCGUGCUUCAUACAUGCAAGUCGAACGAUAAGGUCUCUUCGGAGAUACAUAAGUGGCGGACGGGUGAGUAAAAUGUAGAGAAUCUGCCCUUAAGCGGGGGACAACAGAGGGAAACUUCUGCUAAUACCCCAUAUGAGCGUAGCUGAGAUGCUAUUCUUGAAAAACUCCGGUGCUUAAGGAUGAGUCUGCAUCUGAUUAGCUAGUUGGGGGUGUAAUGGACCACCAAGGCGACGAUCAGUAGCUGGUUUGAGAGGAUGAUCAGCCACAAUGGGACUGAGACACGGCCCAUACUCCUACGGGAGGCAGCAGUAGGGAAUUUUGCGCAAUGGGGGAAACCCUGAACCGCAGCAACGCCGCGUGACCGAUGAAGCCCUUCGGGGUGUAAAGGUCUGUCAGUGGGGACGAAAAAUGACGGUACCCACAGAGGAAGCAUCGGCUAACUCCGUGCCAGCCGCAGC
rnacentral:rRNA from 1 species